rnacentral:sRNA from 1 species
CCGAGUUUUCAACUCCCUAACCCUUCUGUGAACCUACCUAUUGUUGCUUCGGCGGACUCGCCCCAGCCCGGACGCGGACUGGACCAGCGGGCCGCCGGGGACCCCAAACUCUUAUAUCAUCAGCACCUUCUGAAUACGCCGUAAGGCAAACAAAUAAAUC